UUUUUUUUGGAUACAAUAUCUUAACAGAUUUUUAUCGAAUCCAAUUAAAAUUAAUAUCUGCAUCUGUUUCGGCGGAGGAUAUUUUAGCCCAUUGGUAGGACAUUUUAGAGAAAAAUCUAACGUUUUAGCGCCAAAGUAAAGCCCAUUUUAGCCCAAGAUUUUUAACCCAUUCGAGCGAAAAUGGAAAUUAUCAAUGCCCAUUUUAGAGCAAUGCGUUAAUCCAUUUUAAUAUUUAU
rnacentral:lncRNA from 1 species